CUCCUUACAAAUGAAUUGAAUAUAUCUCUCAAACUACUUCAAGUACAUCAAGAAAAACUAGCUAAUUAGUUUUCUUUCUCAUGGAUUUAGGUCCAAAUAAUUCAUGCGUGAAUAAUAAUAUUGAUAUGGAAACAAAUGAUGAUGAAGAAAGUGGAUGGACAACAUAUUUAGAAGAUUUUUCAAUGUAGCAAAGGGAAAAUAACUAUAGUUCAUCAUCUGAUUAUGAUAAUAAUUCUUUUGGUAGCCCUUCUUUGCUUUCUGAUGCUGCUUCACAUGCUGCAUGGAAACAAAAUUCACAAUCACCAUUUCUCAAGAGAUUGAAUUUGAAGAAACAAAAAAGAAAUAACAAAAUUUCUGAUCCUGAUUUGGAAGAUACUGCUAGCUCACCUGUCAAUAGUCCAAAGGUAAGUAAUUUUAAGCAGAUGGACAUCAAUUAUAGGACAGAAAAUAGUAGUGGACAAUUCCAAAUAAUGAAGAGAGUUGAGAGAAGCAACAAAUCUUUUGAUGGAAAAGACAAUAACGGGUAUAUAGAA